GAGAGGUAGUAGAGGGGCAGCCUAUGGUAUCCGAAGUCCAGCAGAGAUGGCCUGCACUGUUUUCCUGUGAAGAGAUAUCUGAAGAAUUUCAUCGCAUCACCAGCAAAGACCUCCUGAAGACUUUCAAUGAGUCCCUUGAGAAUGAUGUGCCUCGCCUGCUCAGACUGUACCGGGCUAAAAAGGGAGCUUUUGGUCAGUAAAUAGAAGACUUCCUGGAUAAGCUUGAUGAACAGACAUCAGACAUUGUGUCUCACCGAAAGAUGACAGCACUGAGAUGCCUCCCCGUUUUUGUCCGGGACGACACAACUAAGUUUUUCCUGCAGCAUUUGAAAACUGGCCUGAAGAAAGAGUGCUCAGAGGCGUGUCUGUUGGCAUCCUUACAAUCCUUGAAGAAGAUGAUCCUGCUGUAUCACCCAACGUACGGG